GGAGGCUAGGAUUUCUAUACAUGCAAUCUGGGUUUAACCAAAAUAAACCUAUAUGGUAGGUGCACCCAGAGAUGGCAAUUUACUGUGCCCUGUUAGAUAGCCAAUCUUAUUUGAUCCUAAUAGAGUAGGUUUUACCGCCAACUCCCAUGUCUGAGAUCGAACAAUCGAGGUGAAGAACCAGUAUGGGGUUGACUCCUGAGCUCUUGCCCGAAACCUACAAAAAAGUCCCGCCAUGGAGUUUUUCGAUGAAAACCCUCCGACAUUAAAGUUAAGAGAUGAAGAACAA
rnacentral:lncRNA from 1 species